rnacentral:rRNA from 1 species
CAAAAACAUGUCCUUAAGGUCUGACCUGCGGCCGCGGCCGUGCAAAGGUAGCAUAAUCAUUAGUCUUUUAAUAGAGGGCUGGAAUGAAUGGUUUAACGAGGAACUAACUGUCUCAUUUUAUUUGAAAAUUUAAUCUUUUAGUCAAAAGGCUAAAAUUUUAUUGGAAGACGAGAAGACCCUAUAGAUCUUUAUAUUUAUUUUGUUGGGGUGACAAAAAUAUUUUUUAUUUAUUUACCAUAGAUAUAUGAAUAUAAGAUCCAUUAUUAUUGAUUAUUAGACUAAGUUACCUUAGGGAUAACAGCGUAAUCCUCCUCCAGAGUUCAUAUUUAC